UACGUAGGGGCUAGCGUUGUCCGGAAUCAUUGGGCGUAAAGCGCGCGUAGGCGGCCCGGUAAGUCCGCUGUAAAAGUCAAAGGCUCAACCUUUGAAUGUCAGUGGAUACUGCCGGGCUAGAGUCCGGAAGAGGCGAGUGGAACUCCUGGUGUAGCGGUGGAAUGCGCAGAUAUCAGGAAAGAACACCGACGGCGAAAGGCAGCUCGCUGGGGACGGUACUG
rnacentral:rRNA from 1 species